CGCUGGGUGUCGGGCAGUAACGAUCGCAAAGCUGACGAAAUCCUCUCUCCCCGAACCGAUGCAAGUCACAUCCCAGUGAACCACAGACAAACACACCUCGCAAUAUGGCCUGCGACAAGAAAUGGCUGCCCCUAGAGUCCAACCCCGAUGUAAUGAACAAGGUGAGUGGAGAGCAAAACCAUUCUGUGAUGUCUGGGAAAUAUCGGAUGUAUUGAUUGGUCAGCGACUUCUGUUUUGACCGUCGCUAUACCAGCGAAAGUCAGAUAUGGAAUGCCAAGGCCCCUUAUUUAUUUUCAUUUACUGCACAAAAAGAUUCCAUACCUAUGAAAUGAAUCGAUUUGGAUCAAUUUUUUU